GACGAACCGUACGAACGUUAUUCGGAAUCACUGGGCUUAAAGGGUGCGUAGGCUGCGCAGAAAGUUGGGUGUGAAAUCCCUCGGCUUAACCGAGGAACUGCGCCCAAAACUACUGUGCUCGAGGGAGAUAGAGGUGAGCGGAACUUAGGGUGGAGCGGUGAAAUGCGUUGAUAUCCUAAGGAACACCGGUGGCGAAAGCGGCUCACUGGAUCUCUUCUGACGCUGAGGCACGAAAGCUAGGGGAGCAAACAGG
rnacentral:rRNA from 1 species